rnacentral:rRNA from 1 species
AGUGAACGCUGGCGGUAGGCCUAACACAUGCAAGUCGAACGGCAGCACAGUAAGAGCUUGCUCUUACGGGUGGCGAGUGGCGGACGGGUGAGGAAUACAUCGGAAUCUACUUUUUCGUGGGGGAUAACGUAGGGAAACUUACGCUAAUACCGCAUACGACCUACGGGUGAAAGCAGGGGAUCUUCGGACCUUUCGCGAUUGAAUGAGCCGAUGUCGGAUUAGCUAGUUGGCGGGGUAAAGGCCCACCAAGGCGACGAUCCGUAGCUGGUCUGAGAGGAUGAUCGGCCACACUGGAACUGAGACACGGACCAUACUCCUGAGGGAGGCAGCAGUGGGGAAUAUUGGACAAUGGGCGCAAGCCUGAUCCAGCCAUACCGCGUGGGUGAAGAAGGCCUUCGGGUUGUAAAGCCCUUUUGUUGGGAAAGAAAAGCAGCAGGUUGAUACCCCGCUGUUCUGACGGUACCCAAAGAAUAAGCACCGGCUAACUUCGCG